UACGAAGGGGGCUAGCGUUGUUCGGAAUUACUGGGCGUAAAGGGCGCGUAGGCGGCUUUGUAAGUCAGGGGUGAAAGUCCUGGGCUCAACCUGGGGAUUGCCUUUGAAACUGCCGAGCUGGAGACCGGGAGAGGGUAGCGGAAUUCCCAGUGUAGAGGUGAAAUUCGUAGAUAUUGGGAAGAACACCAGUGGCGAAGGCGGCUACCUGGACCGGUUCUGACGCUGAGGCGCGAAAGCGUGGGGAGCAAACAGG
rnacentral:rRNA from 1 species